rnacentral:misc_RNA from 1 species
GGCUGGAUCACCUCCUUUCUAAGGAAGAUUGGAAGCAAUUCCGGUCUUUACUUAACAUCACUACGGAGCCGCGGUUCUCAAGCCGUGGUCGCCGCCGCCGUCGCAUCCCUUUCCUUUGAUGGUACUUGGCGAGGCGGAACAUGUUCGUUCCGUCGCUUCGUCUGCCCGAAACGGGCUAGUAGCUCAGCUGGUUAGAGCGCGCGCUUGAUAAGCGUGAGGUCGGAGGUUCAAAUCCUCCCUGGCCCACCAAGUCGCGCGACGGCUCAACCCUUGUAAGCGGGGCUGGCCGGCGCGCCUUUAAAGGUGUCGUGAGGCCGACGAAGCGUGAUUGCGCCUACCGAAAGCUCAAACGGGGGCAUAGCUCAGUUGGGAGAGCGCCUGCUUUGCAAGCAGGAGGUCGUCGGUUCGAUCCCGUCUGCCUCCACCAUCAACCAAGAACACGCGCCCGAACUGGCGCAGAGUUCGUUCUUUGACAUCGUUUAUCUGAAGAGGUCUGAAAGUCUAAAAAAUUCCUAGCUCUGCAUCUCUCAAAGGCAGGGUGGAGGAAUGGGUAGAUCAAGGCCGUUUUGUUGCGGGGGUCGUCCCCUGCACGGAACGAGCCGAAGACGACAAUCGCAAGAUUGUCUUUUUCGCUGACAAAACGUGAGAUCAAGCACAAUAAGGGCGUUUGGCGGAUGCCUUGGCACUGAGAGGCGAUGAAGGACGUGGCAGGCUGCGAUAAGCUUCGGGGAGUUGCCAGCACACUUUGAUC